ensembl:lncRNA
CUUUGCUAGGAUCUGAGCUUGGUUUGUUCCCCCAGAGCUCACCCACUGGAAGCUUGGUCCCAGUGUGGAAGCAAGGUCAGGGUGGUGAUACCUUUAACAAAUGGGGCCGGGGGGUGGUUAUUAGGCCCUCAGGAGACCCACUCUCAGGAAUGGAUAAUGCUUUGCUCAGAGUGCUGACUGGGUCUUGCAGAAGUGAGUUUGUUUCCGGGAAGGGGUUGUACAGAGAGUGAGCCUGGUCUCUCUGCCUCUCAUGUCCUGUCUUGCCAAGCAUAUGAGACAUUUACUGGAACGGAUCAGAUGUCAGAGGCAGGCACUUGAAUCUCCAGAAUGGAGGAUGUGCACUGUUGUUCUCAACCAACACUGCAACUGCAGAACUAUUCCGGUCUUCGAAUGAUUAUAUACAGGAAAACUGAAUUGGUGAUUUUGUUGGCAUAUGCACAGGCAGAAUGACCGCUAUGACUGGACAGCUUUCUGGUUUCACUACUCAAGUCAAAGACGUUGCUUUUGAAUGUAAAUCUACACACCAUGUCAUCCAUAGAGAAACGCUAGCUAGCCAAAAAAUGUCAUCUAAACUUAAUAGCAUUUGAAGAAGUGAUUAAAAUUCUCAACUGCAUGGAAGUCCAUGCCCUUACCUCAUGUCUGUUUACACAGCUCUGUGAGGAGAUGGGCACAGAGCACACACAUGUUCUCUUGUUCACCCAAGUGAGACGGCUUUCUAAAGGAAGAUCAAUGACUAGAGUUUUUGAGUUACAAGAGCCACUCUAGACAUUUGUUUUAGAAAAUCGUCACCCCUGGCAGCAUAUUUCAGUGACACAGAAUCAGUUGGAAAAAUUGCUUACUUAUGUGACAUAUUCAACCUGCUCAAGAACUUAAUCUGUCACUUCUGGGAGAACAACAACUGUGCUCGAGUCGGCAGAUAAAGUGGCUGCACUCAGAGCCAAACUGGGAUUAUGGGAGCAGUGAGUGAACAUCGGGAUGUUUGACAUGGUUCAAAUGUUAGCAAGAUUUUGAAAGAGACUGAGGCAGGACCUUCUUCCUUGCAUCUGUCUCAGCUUUCAAAAGAGUCUGAGCACCAUGACCCCAUGACCAAAGAGCCCCAAACCAGGAAGGCAUGGAUCCACGGCUCAUUUGUAAAUACACGGACUUUUCUGUGCUAGGAGAGGAUCAGCUGCUUGAGAACACAAGUGACAGUGGUCUUAAAAGUAUGUUUCAGGGGGCCGGGGAUUUAGCUCAGUGGUUCUGCCGCCUGCCUUGCAAGCGCAAGGUCCUGAGUUCCAUCCCCAGUACCAAAAAAAAAAAAAAGUGUGCUUGAGACAAAUUGAAAUCUCCGUAUGUUCUUGAUUAAAGACAAAGUGGGAUAGUCUGAGAUUGCCACAAAAGCACUGAAAAUCCACCUUCCAUUUACAGCAUCUUUGUUAAGCAGGGUUAUUCACAGCAACAACAGCCAUGGAAUAGACUGAGCAUAAGUGACGUGAAACAGAUCUCACUGUCUUGCAUCAGCCCCAGAUGAGACUGCCAAGUUGCAAGAAAACAAGCUCAGAGUUCCUGUCUUAGUUACUUUUCUCGUUGCUGAGAUAAAACACUCGACAUCAGAAGUUAAAGGAAGAAAGCUUAUUUUGGCUCAUAGUUUUAGAGGUUUCAGUCCACAGUCAGCUGGCUCCAAGCCAGGGUGGCACAGCAGAGGGGCAUCACAGAGAAGAAAUAGUCCAUGGCAAAGAAGGCAGAAGGCAGCAGAAGCAGCCAAGCAGCUAGCAGCAAGCAACAAGCAAGGACUCUCUUCCUGUCUCUUAUGUCUUAUCCAAGCUACCCACCCUUAGAGCAGGCACCUCUCACACCCUUAAUCCUACCAUUGCAUCCUUGAUCCCAGAAUCACACACCCUAAGUUGAGCCACCUCCAAAAAGCCCCACUUAUGACUGCAUGAGGCCUUGGGGGGACAUCUAGAUACAAGCCAUAGCAGUUCCCAUUGAUUCCACAUAUGGUGACUUGCAUAAUUAUUUCAUUAUGUAUUACAAUGUAAUAAUAAUAAAAAUAAAGCUCACAAUAAAUAUAAUGUGCCUGAAUCAUCCCCAAACCACCCCCUACCUGACUCUCAUCCACAGAAAAAACUGUCUUCCACAAAACUAGUCUCCCUGGUGCAGAUUAAGUUCCUGCUUUAAUCUUGUCUAAGAACUCACCACAUUGGGUAGAGUCCACUUAAAUGAAAAAGUUCUUUUUCUGUCCUAUUUCAGUUACGUGUGUGUGUGUCUGUGUGUG